UCUGUGUCGUCGUCACUUUCUGUCUGUGUCAGUGCGUUCUGCUGGAAACGAUUUGUGUAAUUGUUAAUGUUCAGCGUCCAAGAUUAACACAGGGACAUUGGGAGACGCCGUAGCGGAGGGCUCCAGAUUCAUUUCGCCUACCCGAGGAACUUCAACGUGCGCCGAAAGCAUGGUGCACGAACAUUUUGCAUUCCGCACCCACCUCAACGCGGCUACCACACCCGGGAGUGUAACUCGUGACUUCGAGCGCCGCAGCAGAUCGCCUGAGCCACUGCACUCGAUUGCUGUGGCGUUCUGCUGUAAUCACUGGUCUCCCUUCAGGGGUCGAGAAACUCGAAAUUCCUGAGAAGACGCUUGGAAGCACCAAAGUGGCAGACCUAAUUCACUAUGGCACUGUUUUUCUUCUACCAGUUAUGGUACCGAGAGUGUAGAUGCGUCAUGACAUCACGAUACACUUGCUCCCUCUGUUCCUGCGAUCACUGUGCAGACACGCAAAUGCAGCAAUACGCAAGUGCAGUGUACAAUCAAGUGCAGCAAUAAGAAACACGUGCAACAAUCUUGUUCACUUUUUUAUGAGCAGUGUAAUCACUGUCCUAGCCUUACUGCCACACGACGUCGGCAAGUUUUGCUCUGUGUCAUGACGUCACGAUGGCGCCGAUGACACCAGGCCUGGCGUUUUGAGACGAACUUCAGAGUGAAAUAAAAUGGGAGUUCUUUAUAA